GUGUUCACUUAGGCAGCACAUAUACUAGAAAACUGGUAAGAUCCAGAGAUUAGCAUGGCCCUUAUGCAAGGAUGACACACAAAUUCAUGAAGUGUUAUAUAUAUUC